UUGCUUGCCUAUGUUAAUGGCUAAGGAGACUGCAGAACUAGGAUGCUGAACCAACAAUAUCAGACGGACGGACGUGCCCCGGCUGCUGCGGGCUCGACGGCGCAUCCGAAACUCCGCUCAAGAGCAGAACCGGGUCACGGGGACCGAGGCGUAACGCCGGGACUAACGCGAGGCGACACGGCCCCCAGGGCGCCGGCGGGACGCGGCGCGGCCGGAGCAGGCAAGUGGUGCUCAGAAAGGACACCGGAAUUGUUAUAUCCAGCUCUCUCUUCUAAGCUCUGUGCAACCAGACCCGCUAGUUGA
rnacentral:lncRNA from 1 species